rfam:Erinaceus europaeus unplaced genomic scaffold scaffold00152, whole genome shotgun sequence
GUGCUCACUUUGGCAGCAUAUAUACUAAAAUUGAUACAGAGAAGAUUAGCACAGUCCCCGAGCAAGGAUGACAUGAAAAUUCGUGAGAGGGGAUUCAUUAAAUU